rnacentral:SRP_RNA from 1 species
UGGCGGGUCUAGGUGGGAGGCUCGGCCUCUCCUGCGCCGCAAAUGGUCGAUAUGGCGGACCGAAGACCGGGGAGAGGCACUUACGAUCUGAUUGGCACUUAGCCCGCCUGGCGAUGACUGUUCGUCCUCUGGGGCCGGCGGAGAUGUGGUUCCUUCCGUAGGGAAGGAAUUAACAUCCUAAUCUGCCGAACGUGACUAGGCUCGGGAGAGAGCAAUCCUAAGGCAGAACGUUCGGCGCUCAGGGGGGUACGGACAGGAGUACGGGGCUAGGUGGCAAUUGGGUGUCGGAGUGUCGAUCUCCGGUGACCCGCCG